rnacentral:lncRNA from 1 species
ACCAAUAUACUGGGUCACUAUAAGACAAAUGGAUAGCCUAGACCCACAUGCUUGUAACUUUUAAUCAGCAUAAACCAAGUUUUCUUAACACUGCUACUUUCUUAAUGAUUAAGAAUCAACCUAACAUUCAAAAGGGUCAGCCAGCAGCGUGAUGUGCCCAAUGAGUUAACAGUGAUAUACUAUUAUAGCCUUUAGCGCUCAUUGGAGGAAAAAAAUGUAUUUCAAAAUAGUGAUUAUUUGAAAAAUGUAUGGUUGAAAAUUAAGAAAAAAUUAUUUUAUUAGAAAAUAUAUAAUUGAAAAGAAGUUUUGAAAAAAUGAAUUUUUUAAAAAAUGGGACUCAAACAAGGGCUUAAUUUGAUCGACCGUCUUGCCAGACUUCCGCUAUUUGACAGGUCAAAUCCUUAACAAAUACAACUUCAAGAAAGUGGAAAGCGCUUUAGCCAUUUUCUAUGGCGUUUCUUGAAUCAAAAGCAGAACGUAACUCAAUCCAAAUCACACAUCUAUAUUUUUCUCCUUUAUUCACCUGCUUUUCCCUGUUUCAAAGAACCAAUUGGCCCCGUAACAUAAUUAAAAGCUUCUUUUUCUCUUUACUUUUUCAUUCUCCACUUCAAAGUUUAUAUAAGUGCCUGAAAUAAUGUGCAUUUCCG